ensembl:lncRNA
UGAUGAACGCUGCCUCACAGGUGAGGAUGAGGAUGAUGUAGCAGUCACAGGGGCAGGUGAUGAACUUUUCCUCACAGGUGAGGAUGAGGAUGAUGUAGCAGUCACAGGAGCAGGUGAUGAACGCUGCCUCACAGGUGAGGAUGAGGAUGAUGUAGCAGUCACAGGGGCAGAUGAUGAACGCUGCCUCACAGGUGAGGAUGAGGAUGAUGUAGCAGUAACAGGGGCAGGUGAUGAACUUUUCCUCACAGGUGAGGAUGAGAAUGAUGUAGCAGUAACAGGGGCAGGUGAUGAACUUUUCCUCACAGAUGAGGAUGAGAAUGAUGUAGCAGUAACAGGGGCAGGUGAUGAACUUUUCCUCACAGGUGAGGAUGAGGAUGAUGUAGCAGUAACAGGGGCAGGUGAUGAACG